rnacentral:rRNA from 1 species
UACGAAGGGGGCUAGCGUUGCUCGGAAUCACUGGGCGUAAAGGGUGCGUAGGCGGGUCUUUUAAGUCAGGGGUGAGAUCCUGGAGCUCAACUCCAGAACUGCCUUUUGAUACUGAAGAUCUUGAGUUCGGGAGAGGUGAGUGGAACUGCGAGUGUAGAGGUGAAAUUCGUAGAUAUCCGGAGGAACACCGGUGGCGAAGGCGGCUUCCUGGACCGACACUGACGCUGAGGCGCGAAAGCUAGGGGAGCAAACGGG